UAUACUUUAAUAUAAGAUGUAUAUUAAUUUUUGAUAUUAAAAGAAGUAGUUUAAAUCUACUAAGUAUAA
rnacentral:tRNA from 2 species